rnacentral:rRNA from 1 species
AUACGUAGGGGGCGAGCGUUGUCCGGAAUGACUGGGCGUAAAGGGCGCGUAGGCGGCCGUUUAAGUUAGGAGUGAAAGUCCAGCAUUUAAUGUUGGAAUUGCUUUUAAUACUGGAUGGCUAGAGUGCGGAAGAGGUAAGUGGAAUUCCCAGUGUAGCGGUGAAAUGCGUAGAGAUUGGGAGGAACACCAGUGGCGAAGGCGACUUACUGGGCCGUAACUGACGCUGAGGCGCGAAAGCGUGGGGAGCGAACAGGAUUAGAUACCCUGGUAGUCCACGCGGUAAACGAUGAAUGCUAGGUGUAGGGGGUAUCGACCCCUUCUGUGCCGGAGCAAACGCAAUAAGCAUUCCGCCUGGGGAGUACGGCCGCAAGGUUGAAACUCAAAUGAAUUGACGGGG